rfam:Aedes aegypti strain Liverpool supercont1.51 genomic scaffold, whole genome shotgun sequence.
UUCUGAAGGGGGAAAUCCUGUACGCUGUAUGUUGUAUUUGAAUAAUCCAUAAGCGUAUAGCUUUUCCCAUUCGGCG